UCUCGGCGCCCGGACGAGGCGGCCCUUUUUCCAAGGCGGCAGACGCGGCGGUGCGUCCCUGCGCUCCGCCCGCCACCUGCGCCCCCGCGGCGGGUGCGCGCCUCGCAAACCUCCCGGCGGAGGAGUGGGAACCUGGGUUAGGAAGCGGGGCAGGCAGGUGGCGGGGACGAGGACGUUGCGAGCCGGGAGCCCGGCCACGUGGAUUCUCAGAUCUCCUUGUGGUUUCGUUUCAACACGCAGCCGUUGGGUGUCUGGCUGUUCGCGCAAGUGGCAUACGUGAUUCGAGAGGUCGGAAUGCAGAAGUAGCAGGAGGGCUUUGUGGGCCAGGCCCUGAGGACAUGGGUACCACAUGACAGCCCGACUCGGAGAGGUCACGAGAAGCGACGAAUGCACGACACUGUGACACGUGUUUUAGUGAGAUGCGUGCAGGGUACAGAAGUGAAAGGGAGGGAUUCUUUCUGGAGCGUCUUCAGGGGGGCCUAAGGCGAGUUUAAGUUUGCGGGGUGGAUAAGCACGUAGCAGAGCAUCCCGUUGAGAGGAAACAGGGUCUUUAAAGCUGCAGAGGGGACCUGGAGGGGGUGUGAGCCAAGGAGCCCGAGGGGGGCUUGGUGCCCCACCAUCUCCUUCAGAGCCACCUUAAAUAGCAAUCUCAGCAGAAACGGCGAGCUUGCUCUGUGGGCUCCACUUCAAGCAGGAGGGGAGGAAGAUGGUGUGAUGCCAGCCAAGGGCCAAGCAAAUGGAAAGCCCGUGGUAUGAUCUGUCUGCCUGUUGACCUCGCUAGCCCACGCCUCCACCGCUGGAGCUGAUUUCGUCUGCAGGGGCCGUGUUGUUUACUGACCUAACCAUCUCUUUCGGUGCCGUUGUCUCAACACGGCACUUUUAGAGUUCCUUUGACAGACCUCUCCCCUCCCAUUCUCGUCUGCCUGGCGCUGAUGCUUCAGGCCAGUUGGGCUGGGACUGGAUUCAACCACAGCUGGUUCAGAGCCAAGGAGGCCACACACGCAUGCCUAGGACUUCAUGGAAAGAAAAGCUUCCUGCCUUUUCCUUGGAGGACGCCAGCAGACGCUCAGUGUGGAACGAGGCUGCUUCUACGUCAAAGGGGGAGCCCGGGGCUGAGAGCAUGGGUGUGGGCGCUGGGUGGAAGCCUCACCAUGGAAGGCAGAUCAGGGAGCCGGACAGAGCCAGGGGGACACCAGGCCAUGGGCGACAGCAUUUGAUUUGCUGCAUGAUCCCUUGCUAGUUACAGGCCUUGAUUUUUUAGUGCCCUUUAUUAUACAGACUAGUUUUAACUGGAUUUUCUGUGACUUGCAACAAAAAGAGUCCUAACUGAUCUCAGUGGGUGGGAUCUGUUCCCUGUCAAAGAGGUGAAGCGUCUCAGGCAAGGGGAAAGGGGAACGUCCUCCCAAUGUGUAGCCACUGCGGCGAAGCCUGUUGGAUAACAAGGGGGAAAGUUCCCACGUCCAGAGUAUUGUGUGGCGUAACGUUUCCCAAAGUUUUUUUUUUUUCUUAGUGGGUCAGUAAAUGUGUACGAGCCACUGGCGUCAGCGCUGUGCCGUGUUGGGGAAACGCCGAGCAAGCAUGGUGGCCCCGCCUUAGCGGAACUUGCGUUCCAGCCGGAAGUACAGACAUUAUGCUGGUUAUAGUGGGAUGACUAUAGGUCCCUCCUGGCUGCAGGAGGGACAGAAGAUGCUUGGAAGCUAUGACGGGCGGCACACAGUUUGGGAGGAGGGGUGAAGGAAGGCUUCCUUGAGAAAGCGACAUUUAAGCAGGGCCUAAAAGGCAGCCUAACGAGGCCAUGAAGGACGUGACUUUCCCUGCACAGACGAGGAAGCUUAGCCCUGGAGAAUUCAGUGAUGUGCCCGAGGUCACACAGCUGGCAGCCCUCAGCCCCGGUCUGUCCCCGCAGCCCAGGCCCUACCCCUCCCACUCGCCGACCUGGGGUAGGGAGUGUGCAAGUGCUCGUGUGGUGGCUGAGCUCCUAAAACACACGCAUUCUCAGACCCUGCUCCCAGAAAUGCUGGCGAGAGGCCAUCACUCUACUUUCAGAGACUUCCGGGGCGGUUCGGAUGGGAAACAACGACAGAGUAGCUCUGAGCUUUGCAGGGUGGAUUCUGUCCUGAGCCGCCUCCAGAGCUUUGCUGUCCUUGCAGUUCGCAUCUCGGUAGGAAGAAUGUCAGGCGGAACGUAAAAGGCAGGGCUUCUAAGUCUGGCCCUGCUGCCAGCCAACUGUCUGAUUUUGGACGAGUCCUGCCUCUUUGGGUUUUAAUUCUUUGUGCGUCAGAGCAGGGGGUGUGGGGCGGGACAGAUGACUCCUGAGAUGGCCUCAGGCUUUGUCACGCAACAGUUCUGCUGAGCAGUGGCAUUAGGAGAUGGCAAAUUCAGUCAUUGAAGCUUAGAUGUCUGUAUUCAUUUUCUCGGGCUACAGAAACAAAGUACCCUAGACUGGGGGCUUCAACGACAGAACUUGACCGUCUCACAGCUCUGGAGGUUGGAGUCCAAAAUCAAGGCAUGGGUACACGUGGAGACACAUGGAAGGUCAAGGUUGGCCCCACCAACGACCAGGGCAGGAGGCAGACCCUUCAGCUGCGGGUGCCAGGAGUUCAGAUCUUCUAGCUGCAUCGUUAUGGAUGGUGGGGUUUCCCAGAAUGAGCAAAGCGAGGUACAAUCCACCCUCAAUAUCCCUCCGUGUUCCUGGAAUAUGUGGUACAUGUUAAAACCAUGCAAAAUUACUUGUGUCUAAAUUAAAAUGAAGUUUGGAUCUUA